ensembl:snRNA U6 U6 spliceosomal RNA
GUGCUUGCUUUGGCAGCACAUACACAAAAAUUAGAAUGACACAGAGAAGAUUAGCAUGGGCCCUGCACAAAGAUGACACGCAAAUUUGUGAAGCAUUCCAUAUUUAA